AUACUUCUUUGAUUAUAUAGUGAUGCCAAUGUUUACAUAUAUAAAAAAUGGUAUUCUUUUAAAGGUUCGAGUAUCUUAUUCACAAAUAUUUAUGAUACAUGAAUUAAAAAAACACAAACAAUACAAUAUAAAGGUAAUGUUGUGUAAUGGCUCAUAUUUGGGGAAUUCAUCUAAAGGCCCAGAGGAUUGGCAUCAAAGUGGAGUUGGUUUGAUGGUUGCACUAGCUGGGUGUGUGGAAGAGCAUUGCUACGCUAGGACCUAGUGCAGCAUGUCUCUGUUCAUUAUGCACUAGGGGUAGUGCAGAAUACCCCCUCCACACUGGGGGUAGUGCAGAAGGCCGAACCUGUUUUAAGUGAAGUUUCAGUUGCGAAAUUGAAGCCAAAAGUCCUCUUUUGAGUGGGAUACUGAUCUUAUAUGGGAAGAAAUUGGGUUACGGCUUACUUGUACUAUGGGGAAAGGCUACGAACAUAUAAAUAUUACUCUUAUGAGUUGUAUUGAUGAUUUUUGCUAAGAGGCUAGGGAAAUUAGUUAGAUUUUGUUUUUAGCUUGUAUCCAAGAUUUCUUUUAUAGUGAAAUAAGAAAACAGGAACCCAUGGAUGUAAGCACAUUGCCGAACCAUGUAAAUCCUAUCAACCCAUGCCCUCCGCUACCACC
rnacentral:misc_RNA from 1 species